AUACGGAGGGGGUUAGCGUUGUUCGGAAUUACUGGGCGUAAAGCGCACGUAGGCGGAUUGGGAAGUUGGGGGUGAGAUCCCAGGGCUCAACCCUGGAACUGCCUCCAAAACUAACAGUCUAGAGUUCGAGAGAGGUGAGUGGAAUUCCAAGUGUAGAGGUGAAAUUCGUAGAUAUUUGGAGGAACACCAGUGGCGAAGGCGGCUCACUGGCUCGAUACUGACGCUGAGGUGCGAAAGCGUGGGGAGCAAACAGGAUUAGAUACCCCGGUAGUCC
rnacentral:rRNA from 1 species